UAGUUGUAUAUUAAAAGUAUAUUCUGCCCUAUGAUUAUUUUAAAUGGCUGCAGUAUUCUGACUGUGCAAAGGUAGCAUAAUAAAUAGUUUUUUAAUUGGGAACUGGUAUGAACGAGUGAAUGAGGGAUUUAUUUUAUUAUUAUAAUUUUUAUAAUUUAAUUUUUAAGUAAAAAAGCUUAAUUUCUAUUUAGGGACGAAAAGACCCUAUAGAACUUAAUUUUUAUAAUAUUUUUAUUUUUUAGUUUUUUAUAAAUGUAAUUUUAUUAUGGAAAUUUUAUUGGGGUGAUAAAUAAAUUUAAACUUUAUUUUUUUUUUUCAUUUAUUAAUGAUUUUUUUGAUCCAUUAUUUAAAGUGAUUAUAAGACCAAGUUACCUUAGGGAUAACAGCGUUAUUUUAAUGGAGAGUUCAUAUCUAUAUUAGAGUUUGCGACCUCGAUGUUGAAUUAAGAUUAGAUUAAGGGGUAG
rnacentral:rRNA from 1 species